UACGUAGGUGGCAAGCGUUGUUCGGAUUUACUGGGCGUAAAGGGCGUGCAGGCGGUUUGUUAAGUGCAGGGUGAAAGCUCCCGGCUCAACUGGGAGAGGUCCUUGCAUACUGGCAGACUUGAGGGAGGCAGAGGAAAGUGGAAUUCCCGGUGUAGUGGUGAUAUGCGUAGAUAUCGGGAGGAACACCUGUGGCGAAGGCGGCGAUCUGGACGAUGACUGACGCUGAGACGCGAAAGCGUGGGGAGCAAACAGG
rnacentral:rRNA from 1 species